rfam:Pseudomonas batumici strain TCM B-321 Contig_9, whole genome shotgun sequence.
CUACUGUUCACGUGUCGCUGCAAAUUCAGCGAUACGGGCUUGGACACCCGGUGA